rnacentral:rRNA from 1 species
UACGAAGGGGACUAGCGUUGUUCGGAAUCACUGGGCGUAAAGCGCACGUAGGCGGAUAUGUCAGUCAGGGGUGAAAUCCCGGGGCUCAACCUCGGAACUGCCUUUGAUACAGCAUGUCUUGAGUCCGAUAGAGGUGGGUGGAAUUCCUAGUGUAGAGGUGAAAUUCGUAGAUAUUAGGAAGAACACCGGUGGCGAAGGCG